UGCAGCGUAGUUUAAGCAAAAUACUUAUUUUACACGUAAGAGCUUCCUAUAAAGGACUUUGUAA
rnacentral:tRNA from 2 species